CCUACGGGAGGCAGCAGUGAGGAAUAUUGGUCAAUGGACGCGAGUCUGAACCAGCCAUGCCGCGUGCAGGAAGACGGCUCUGUGAGUUGUAAACUUCUUUUGUACGGGGAUAAACGCAGGUACGCGUAUCUGUCUGAAAGUAUCUUACGAAUAAGGAUCGGCUAACUCCGUGCCAGCAGCCGCGGUAAUACGGAGGAUUCAAGCGUUAUCCGGAUUUAUUGGGUUUAAAGGGUGCGUAGGCGGUCGGAUAAGUUAGCGGUGAAAGCCCGAGGCUCAACUUCGGAAUUGCCUUUGAUCCUGGUAGGCUAGAGAGUAGUUGAGGUAGGCGGAAUGGAUGGUGUAGCGGUGAAAUGCUUAGAGAUCAUACAGAACACCGAUUGCGAAGGCAGCGUACCAAGCUACGUCUGACGUUGAGGCACGAAAGCGUGGGGAGCAAACAGGAUUAGAUACCCUUGUAGUC
rnacentral:rRNA from 1 species